rnacentral:lncRNA from 1 species
AAAACUUAGUGAUUUCAACAAUAUGUACUCAUUCUCAAUUUCUGUUGUUCAGGAAAUUAAGGAUGGUUUAGCAGGUUCCCAUGCUUCAGAGUCUGUCACAAAGCUGUAAUCAAGGUGCUGGUUGGGGCUACCAUCUCGUAUGAAAGCUUGACUGAGGACAGAUCCACUUCCACACUGUGAGAAAAUGAAGACAGACUUGUAAAUGCAUUCAGAAAAUGACUCACAUUCAUGUCAUCUUACAGUGAAGUUCAAAUUUCUCUUUGAGGUUUUUUUUUUUUUGGGGAUACGAACACUAAGUUUCUAUUUUUGAGUACUCUCUGUAUCUAAAUAAUGUUAAAAAUAAAACCAUGUCCCACUGUUCUGUACCUCUUUGUACAGUGUCUAUUUUCUUUUCUCUCACUAUCUAGUUCACCCCAAGAAUUCAGAAAAAAAUAAUCACAGCUAAUGUGGCAGUUGGUGAUAGUCAUCAGUUAGUUUUCUUGAGUUCAAAAUUAGUUGGUGAAAAUCAGGAUACUGUAUGUGUAUAUGAUACAAAAUUGUGGAAUAGGCAA